GAAGAAGAGACAGGUGUAGGUAGAACAGGAUAUCUGUUUUUAUGUCUCUCCUGGCUACAGAAGACUCAGCAAAAGUGUACCUGGAUGUCCAACACAAGGGAGGGCUCAUAAUGGUAUUAUGCCUCCACCUUUUGUUACUGUGAAGGCCAUGACCAGAUGGGAGGAAGGUACCUUCUGAUGACAUUACUGUCCUAGAGAACAUUUGAGUAGCAGCUUCAUGUAUAAAACAUGAGGCAGAAACAGACUACCAGUACUAUGUGGAAAUCUUCUGAAAGGAAGAUCUUUUUGGUUAGAGUCAUUUACACUGGAAACAAAAAAAUGAUCUUACUGAAAGCGGUGCUAUAUGAAGUGGAUGGCUAAAAUAAUUUUCAAGUUUCCUCUCUUUAUAGAGUCCAGAUAAUGUGGUAGUAAGUUGAAACUGGCACGUGCUGAUAAUUUUAGAAAUAGGUUUGCAACCCAAUUUUGACAACAGUUUUUUCAUAGCAUUUCCUUGAGUGAUGUUUUCCAAAUAUUGGAGGAUACUAGAUAACUCAUCAUAGAGAUAUACAACCUACUUUAUCAUAUUUGCAUGACUUUUAGUAGCUUAUAUGUAGCUCCCAGGAUAUAUAAUUCCCUACCCUGUGUUGUUACUUCAACAAUACCUUAAAGCAUAUCCUUGUUCAUAUGGCGAUGCCAUCUGAGGAAGGCACCUAGCUUAUCAGAGCAUUCUAUCCUCAGUAUGGAAUCUGGAGAGCUAUGAACCCCUUUUAUUUUUACAAAUUUCUCUCCAUUUGAAAUUACUGGCCACAGCCUGGUUUCUAGAUUCCAAAAUUACUCUCUUAAAGCUUUGAGACUGAGUCAAAUCAGAAAGCCCACAGUAACAUAGCGGGUGCUCUUAGCCUAAUACAUUUGUCAGAAAUUCUGAAUGCCACUUACUUCCCUUGCUCCUCAUUCCCGUAGUUGUUUUGAGCCUAGCCUGAAAUCACAUUUUGAGAGUGAUCUGGAGAUCUUCAAAUAAACCUAUAUCUUCCAAACGGACCUAAGUUUUCUGAACAGGUCUUGGCUAACAACAGUACAAGAACUCUCUGGAAGCAAAACAAAACAAACAAAAUAAACGCAAUACUUUGCCAGCUAAUUAGCUUUCUGAUUGCCAAUAGGGAAUUAUUCAUUUCCAUGCAUUCAUUUUCUCUAACACACUACGCUAGUCUGGUGUUAGUUCAGUCAUAGCAUAGCAAAAGAUAUAUGUGUGUUCUUAGCUUAUCUGUGUAUAUAUUUUCUUUCUGCCUGAGUCAAUCAGGCAUUUAUUUUUAGUACCUUCUAUUGCUAAGAACUCUGUAAGGUGCUAUGGGUUACAUAAAGAAGCAGAAGAGUCCAUUCUUAGUUUCAGGUUUACAGUUCAGUUGGAAAGAACAAAUUAAUGGAAGCCAAAAAAGCAAUGUAUUGUUAAAUUAUCAAGUACGGAGCUUAGCAUGAUAGAAGUUCACAGAAUAAUCAAAAGAUAAGAUAGAGUUGAGUUGGGGAACAUUCAAUGAACAAAGUAAUGCCAGAGCUGUUUAUUGAAGGAUGGUUGUUUUUUUUUUGUUUUUUUGGUUUUUGUUUUUUGUUUUUUGUUUUUUUUAGAUGGAGUCUUACUCUGUUGCCCAGGCUGGAGUGCAGCAGCGCAAUCUCGGCUCACUGCAAACUCUGCCUCCCGGGUUCAAGCGAUUCUUCUGCCUCAGCCUCCUGAGUAGCUGGGACUACAGGUGCAUGCCACGAUGCCUGGCUAAUUUUUCUAUUUUUAGUAGAGAUGGGGUUUCACUAUAUUGGCCAGGCUGGUCUCGAUCUCCUGACCUCAUGAUCAGCCUGCCUUGGCCUCCCAAAGUGCUGGCAGUGCUGGGAUUACAGGCAUGAGCCACCGCGCCCAGCCAAAGGAUGGUCUUGAUAGAGAGGCAUAUUUAUAAAUAUGAAAGACAAGUCAUAUUUUCCCCCAGACAUAAUUGGCUGUCUUAACCAUGUAAUUUCCUUCCAAUGCAACACAUUAUUCCAGAUAUAAAAUGGUCACUUGAAAGAGAAUCAGUCUUUUCCUCAGUUUUUCUGGAAUAUAAGUGCAGUUCUUUUUCUUUAAGGCUAGAGACUUGGUAUAUUAAAUGUACUAAACUUUCUUUUUAAUGUUAAGUAGAGUGAGAUUUUGAGGAUGUAAUCCUAACUGAACAGUAACCAAUACCAAGUAACUUAUUGAACCAAGCUUUAAAUACCAUGAUGAAAAAACUAUAUUUCUUAUUAAUUAUGCCAAAAUAAACUGCCUUUAAAAGUAUAUUAAGCUUCCCAGGAAUCUAAAGAUGCAGGAAGAUAGUUACAAUGUGGUUCAAAUUUAGUUUGCCCCACAGGGUCCAUCAUGUAGGCACACUAUGCCUCCGUGUUAAUGUAUUCUAAGUUUGGUAAAACCAUGGCCACCUUCCUAUGGCCAGAAACCAAUCUUUUGCAGAGGAAUGGUCCCCAGACAAGCCCAAAUACGUGGCUUCCCAAAGCUUUUUCAUGACUAUACAGUCCCAUAAAAUGUUGCUAAGGAUAUUAUAGCGUCACAGAGUUUUAGAGUUUGGAGGAGCCAUAGAGAUCAUCGUUCAACUCUCAAAAUUACAGUGAAGAAAGCACAGCUGCGUAGAAGUGCCAUCUGUUUUCACUUUGCUGUAGACUAAUUAUACUGGACUCUCUUCUGGACCUCCUUCUCAACUGUAGACAUCCUAACACGUGGACUGCUUCUGAAUCCUUCCACGGUAUGGCAGGACUCCUGGAAUCUUGGGAGCCUUUUCUGUGCCAUGAAGACACUGAAUAGAAUGUACACCACAGCGUUUCCAGAUGGUCAACCGGCAAGGGAGCUGUUUAAGCAAAUGCAUGAAUGAAGGUGGCCAUGGUUGGUGUGAGGCCGGGGAAGACCCUGCUUUAGUCUCAUUCUAUGUGAAAUUCAGUCCUUUGAUGAAAAUUUUAAAAUCUUACUGAAUAUAGAUGUGGGGAAAACUAUUAUUUAAGAGUUGCAAGCCGGGUUCUACCUCUAGCUCAAAUUUAUGUAGCAAACUGGGAGAAAUCCCGUAAUAUGCAUUUUUUUGUUAUGUAAAAGGUAAGGCAGAAGUUUAACCAUAGUUCUUAAGGGGAAACUUAAAUAUAGUGAGAUAAAUUAGAUUCAAAUGUUUUAAACUAAGAAGUAAAAUUCUCUGUUUGUUCAUGUAAAUGUAGGUAUGUUUAGCAGUUGCUACCUAGGGGCCAAUGUUUCCUUUCUCUGCAUGGAAUUAGACUCUUCUGGCAUGUUUAUUAUUCAGCGGCCUUGAAGAGUGAUUUUUUGUUUGAGGUUCUCUUCCCCAUGCCCGGGAAAGUUGGAGCCAUUUCAGUGAGAACUUGAUGUUUACCUUAUCCUGGAAGAGAAAAAAAAAUAUUGUGGUAUGCAACCUAUACAGAAAGAUUGCUGUCUAUUUAAGGCUAAAUAAGGCAGAUUUGGGAAAGUAUAUUAAAGUUUUAGUGCCAUAUAUGGGUGACGCCAUAGGACCAGACCACAUCUCUGAAGAUGGAAGUUGUGGUUUCCUCUGAAGUAGAGUAAUCCACUGCCCAUCACCCUGGGAAGAGGUGAAUCUUGGGACUGCAAGUAAAAACUCGGGAUUGUGGGGUUUUGACGGUUAGGUCUGGGGGAGAGUGUGGGGAGUCUUUUCUCCUCUCUCUGAAGCCUCAUGGAAACCAAAUAAAGCAGAUGUGCUAGAGGGCACACCUGUUGAAGAGCGGUUGCCAUCCUCAUCCAGAUACCAGGCUGGGAGAAAGACAGAGAAGUAUCAUUUAGGGACUCUGAAGAAUGUUGUCCUGAACUUGGGGCUGGGAGGACUCUCCAGAGUAACUUGAGAGGACAUCCACUGUAGCUUCUAAUGUAUUCUGCAUGUGGAUAGUCCCUUUUGUUUUCUAUUAACUUUCAGCAAAGCCUGAUUAGAACGUACCACUUGGUCUCUUCUUUGCUUGAGGGAAAGAACAGUGUCCCCUCUUAGAGGCCACGGGGCUGGUGGCAUUGGUGUUCAUCAGGAGAGGAUAGCUGUGUCUGGUCCAGAAGACACGUGACAGGGGUUCUCAGUAUAAAGGCAGCAAAGUGCAGUGUGAUGAGCAAAUGCAUGAGCAAGACUGAACAAAUGUGUGAGCACCACUAUUUCCUCCCAGAAAAUAGCUCAAAGAUGCUUGGAAGUUCCCUAAUUCAUGGAAAACCAGUAGAUGGGACUUGAGCUAUUAUUGUGGGAGCUUUACAAGGAAAUAUAACCUUAUUUUAUAUUCAUAUAUAGCUGAUGCUUGAACAUUUAAUUAUAUGCAUUUGUGUAAUAGGUACCAGAGACUGUUCCCUUCUGUUUUACUGAACAUAGUAAAUCAUCAUAUAACAGAUCAUUUUCCAGAAUCUCUUGAAGUUUUACAUUAAAUAAGGAUAGGGUGACUACUGGGCAGUCUUUACCAAGGGCAAGAGUAUAAUGGGAAUCUUUUGUGACCUGACCAAAGCUAGCUCCUCACCAUACCUCUUAAUCAGCAUAGCUGGUCAGCAGAGAGGAGUCUGAUAAACUCUGGACUUUCUGACUAAAGUCUGAAAUUAUGGACUUUUGCUCACCUCUUCAGAUGGCCUGGCACAGGUAGACCAAAGUGGGCAAAAAGGAUAUCAAUAGCUUCAAAAAGAAACAUAGAAAAAAGAAUGGGCUAUGUGGGGGUGGUGGCCCUUGGUCUAUGACAGAGGAAGGCUGUUUUGGAAAACAAAAAUGUGGCUGAGAUUGAAAAUUGCCUUAGGAUCCAGCUAUCCUGGCAUAUUGUUGUGGUUCGGGAACAAAGCUGAGCAUUUGAACAUGGGACACUCUUUGGUUUAGGUAUGAGGGUGUCCUUGCAGGAUGGACAUGCUUUCGUGGCAUGGUGCAAAGCUAGUUUUAACAAUGAUUUCCAGUGAGUGCAAAAAACAAAGCUAUAGUAAAGGAUUAAACUCAUUUCCCUAGGGCAUUGAGUAAGCCUUGAGAUUCUUAAACUGAAAUUAAACUGUAACAAGGGUCUGUAUGUGUGUGGGAGAGGAAUGCUUUCCAGGGCAGGUUUCAAAAGUGAGAUACUAGACUUCCCACUAAUAUGUCAUGUGGGUGCUCACUGGAAAUAUAAAGGAAUAUGACUGCUCUGUACCCUUGCAUUAAUGAAUCAGUAUGUGCCUAUUGCGUUUGUAAAAUUAUAGAGAAAUUACAACGUUACAUUGUUUAGGGUAAUCCCAAAUCAUAAUACAUACUGUGAUUGUUUUUCUUUAUGUUUAUUAAUUUAAAUGAGAGGUCCAGGGAACAUAUCCUAAAAACCACAAAGAAGAUUUGGUCUCUUCUGGGAGGUCUAUGACAGUAAGUCACAGCACACAAAUUUUCUUGCAUAGCUGACUGCAGGCUAAUUCUGAAAUAUCCCUUUUAAGUGAUGUCAGUGGAAGUCUGAAAGCAUAUAAUAUAAACGCUGGGUAGUCUAUCAACCUGUGGCUUCUCAUUAUAUAUGUGAUUCACUAUGUUAACUUGGUGCAUUAUAUAACUUCGCAGUUUACAAAGCACUUUCACAUAUGUUAUUUGUGCCUCACAAUAACACCGAUCAGUAUGUAGAGCUAUGAUUAUUAACCACAUUUAAUACUUGAGGACACUGGGCCCAAAGGUAAUAAAUUAUAUAACUAUAAAUAAGUACAAGAGGGUUUAAAUUUAAAGAAUAGAUACUAACUGAAAAAAGGAAAGGAGUAACUUUGCAGUGAUCAAAGUUAACAGCACCAAUAAGGACACAUAUCAACAUCAUGUACCUCCUGAUCUUAUGCUCUAAGAAGACAACAACAUCACUUCCAUAUGAUUCUUGCCAGAAAUACAUAACCUGAAUCAUAAGAAAACAUUAAACAAACCCAAAUUGUGAGGCAUUCUAUCAAAUAAUUGGCCAGUACUGUCUAGGUCCAUUUUGUGCUGCUAUAACAGAAUACUUGAGAUUGGGUAAUUUAUAAUGAACAGAAAUUUAUUUCUCAUGAUUCUGGAGGCUGGGAAGUCCAAGAUUGAAGGGACAGCAUCUGGUGAGGGCCUUCUUGCUACAUUACCCUGUGGCAGAAGGCAGAAGGGAAAGAGAGCUCCUCAGUGAGAGAGCAAGAGGGGGCCAAAUUUGCUUUUAUAAUUGAUCCACUCCCAGAAUAAAAACACUAAUCCAUUCAUGAGGGCAGAGUCCUUGUGAUCUAAUCACCUCUUAUUAGUCUCCCACCUCCCAACACUGUUGCAUUAGGGAUUAAGUUUCCACACAGGAACUUUGGAGGACACAUUCAAAUCAUAGCAAGUACUAUUAAAAAAGGUCAAAGCCAUAAGAGACAAAGAAAGAAUGAAGAACAGUUGCUGAUUGUAGGAGACAAGGAACCAUGAUCACUAAAUGCAAUUUGGGAAUUUCGAUCCUGGACCUGAAAAAGAACAUUAGUGGCACAACUGGUAAAAUUUGAAUAAGAAUUAUAAAUUAGUUACUAAUAUUCUUGUCAAGGUUAAUUUCACGAUUUUGUUAAUUGUGCUAUGGCUAUGUAAGAUGUUAAAACUUGAGAAAGUUAUGAGAAGGGUAUACAGGAAUUCUCUGUACUGUUUAUACAACUUUUUUGUAAGUCUGAAGUUAUUUCAAAACAAAAGUUAAAAUAAAUUAUAAAUAAACAGGCUUUCUAGUAUAGCCAGGCCAAUUUUUAUCCCCAAUGACAAUGUACAUAAGCUUCAAAACUCAAUGUUAAUCAAAAUAAAUAGUCCAUUAAUCUAAAAACUGGACUCAUGAAUGUCCCUAUGGGGCUCUUCUAUGUUUUACCAUGGAAUACUAUGGAAUUCUGGGGAGGAAUAGAACACAGUGGUAAAAACUUUAGGCCUCGGAUUUGGAUAGAUCGGUUUUACAUACCAGUCCUGCCGUUUUGUACCUAUGUGAACCUCAAUUUCUCUAUGUGAAAAAUUGGAAUGCAUAGCAAUAUCAUAAGAUUGUUGAGGGAUUAAAGGUGUCAAUGUAUGCUAAGGCCUGAACACAAUGCUAGGUACAGGUCCCAGCUUUUGAACUAUAAUUGAAUUUAAAUAAAAGGGUGAGAAGAGAGCACCAUGGGCCAGUUACCACUUUUUGUCAGAAUGGUUACUUGGUUUGAUAUUUCACCAGCUUAAAUGGGCACGUUUACUAAAAAGCUGCUUAUGCAUGCUUACUACUGAUAAUACAGAAGGGAAAUAAUGUCAUUUAGACACAUUUUCCAGGGAUAUUUUGAAAAUAACUGAAUUGCAGCUAAAAGCUUGCCAUGGAAAAGAUCUCAGCUGUCACCACUGCUGCAUCUGGAGUCACUUGGGUACUGUCACCAGGAGAAAGUGGAAAAAAGGAUCUCUGCUCAAAGCUUCAGUGCCCAUGACAGAGAGCUAGGAAGAAACCAUGAUUGCUCCCAGAGUACAGCAAAGCCUGCUUUGAGUGGGUGGACAAGGCUUUAUAAAACUUGGAAAGGCUCUUCAAAGAACAAUUAAAAACAAUCUCCUGUAGUGGGAGGUGAAUCUGGCUGGGAAGCUCCUGCUUUCUUUCCCCAGGGUAGAAUUCCCAGGCUUCUGGAUCCUGGUGGAGUGCCCUUGGCAGUGGACAGCAAAGCAUGUUCUCUUUUCACUUUCCUGGGGUUCAGAGUGGUGGUUUUGAGUACACGGAGUGAAGAACAUCUGGCUCUCCUGAAGCUGAAAGAGAUCUGAAGUCAGCAGGUGGGGGGUUGGAGGUUUAUGAAAAUAGUAGGGUGAAGUUCAUUUUGUGGACAACUCUUGGCCCCGGGUGUUAUUUAUUUCAAAUUUUAUACUGCUGAGCUCCUGUGGGCUUAUUACAGAUCAAUUCAUAAACAAGCACACACUAAGUUGUGUCCUGGGGAUAAAUAAUGAGUUUAUGUGACUUUGGGGUUGCGUGUUAGAGGUGAGAGGGGAGCCACAGCUGAGGACUCAGUGUAAUAAACUGGAAUUCCAGGCUACACCCCUAUGUGGACAAAAGACUUGAAGAAGAAAUGUCCAUGAACUAUGCACAAGUUUUAAGGCACUGAACUCAUAUCUUUCACAUUUCUAAAAGGAAUUACUGUGAAUUAAAGGCAAAAACGCAUCCCAUGGAGCAGCCAGCUCUCUUUAAGAGUACAUGAAUAGGUGUGAUAAAUAUUUUUGGAGAACUGAUCUGAUCUAUAAAAUCACUUUAAUAUGUAUUUAAUAUUUCUAGUAAUAACAAUCCAAAAUCAUUUAUGCAAUCAUCUCACAAAUACCUAUGUGUCAGAAUGACAUGUAAGCCAAGAUUUUAAAUAAUUUAUGCUAAAUAUAUUUUGAUGAUUUUAUAGUUUUUCCUUCAUAAGAAAGAUUCUUAUGAUGUAAUGAACAUCAAGAGACGUCUCCCUUUCCCAACUCAAAACAGAUCCCUUUAUGGCAGUACUCUGUGCACAUAGACUGUUAAUCUUUGUGCAUUUGAAGUGGUGGAAACUCAGUAAAUGAAAGGAUGAGUAAUCACGACGGUUAUGUGUGGCAGCCCUGUCUGAGCAGAGCAGUAACAAGGGAGGCUUCACAGUUCCAAAUUACACAUGAAACAAAAGGAUGUUCAUUUCUCACGAUGAAGUCAAUUUCCAUGAGAUCCUGGGAAGAAAAGUCCUCAUCCAAGAGAAAGAAUCUUAGCAAUUCCAAGAAAUCAUUUAGCCCAGAAGUCCAGAGUCUUUUUGCAACACAAAAUGUCACAGGUAGGCAAAGAUAUAAUUGAAAGAGAAGAAUGAGGGGAAAAUGAAGGAACAAUUUUUUCAGAGAGGGAGAGACUCAUACAGAAGAAAACAGAGAUUAAAAUUGAGAGAAUUCCCACGGAAGGACACAGAGCUCCCCCCGCCUCAGCCUUUCUCUGAAUGUGACUCAGUAGUGUUCACGGCAUAAGCCGUCCUCCUUGCUUCAUGCCACCCUCAUCCUCAACACAGGUUCCUGCACAGGCAGAAUGGCUGGAAGCUCUGGAUAGAGCACAAUUCCAAGAUGUCCCUAUCCUAAAGUCAGGGAAAGACCACUCUGUGAAACAGACUCUAGAAGAACAGCAAUUGGAUGCCUUUGUUGUUUGUAAAGUAACCCAUGGGCAAUGGAUUAUAACUGAGUUGCUGAUGGGAUCAUCCUGUUUCUCAGUCCAGUCAAUAGAACUCUUCAUUGUAUUGUGAUCUACUCACUAUAGGAUAGUUGUGAUUUUGGUAACUAAUAAAAACAGUAAUUGGAUAGUUCAGAAUGUGUUUGUGUAAUUGGUUAGCAUUUAUUCAGCCUAGUCCAUGUGAAAAGGGGCACUGUAUCUGAAAAAAACACAGUAUUUCAAUCAUUACAAGGGUGAAUUUGGUACUUAGGACAAAGACUCUCUCACUCUC
rnacentral:lncRNA from 1 species